UCUGAACAGAAAGAUAACAGCACUGCUCAUCUUGAUAGAGAAGAAGAAAGGAAGGCCAGCACCGGGUCCCUGCCUGCUGUUUGUGAGUCAUAAUCAAUCACCUCGGCAAGCUCUUUUCAGGUGCUCCCCUGGAGGAAAAGCUGCUUCGGCUGAUGUCCUGUUAGACACUGAAACCCAGGCCCAUCCUUGAGGAAGGCUCUGAGACUCAUCACUGGGCGAUUGAGACCGAAAGCACUGCUCUCAACCCCAAGCAGGCAGAAUAAAAGACAGCAAUUGUACUGCUCAGACGCUGGGUCCACUGCUGGUGCCAGACAGUGACGCCUCGUGCUUCUCUAACUGAACUGGACAGCUGUCCUCAGGUCCCAGACACCAUGCCUGUAACACUUCAGCAUCUUGACCUGGUUGAGGGACUGGAUGUUUGUGUCCUUCCAACACUCAUCUGUUGAAACUCCAACAGUGAUGGGAAUAGGGGGUGGACCUUUGAGAUUGUGUAAGAUAAUCCCACUGCGCUGGAAGACCUGGCUGUUUACUGUCACUGGCAGCUCUGAGUGCAUCUGGAAUGGUUUUACCUGCAAGAAAAGACAGGAAGAGCUGGAACCAGGAGCACAACUGAGCAGGAGAACAUUGGCUGGGAAGGAAGCCACUCAGAGAAGUUCACCACAUCCCGAGGAGUAGUCUAGUCUGCUGUGCCGAGGAGGGACGGCUGAGUUUGUCCAAGGUUCAGAGUCAGCCAGAAAGCUGCACCAUGAGCUCAGAAGAACGAAGGCAGGGAUGGUGCCAGAAUGAACAGGGGAUCCAGGCUGCAGACAGAGCAGAUGAAACCAAGGGUCUUUGAGUUUCAUGGUGUUUUGUGGGAUAUAGCAAUCAAUGGGAUGCUCUGUUUUCCAAUCACUUGGGAAGUAAUUACAGAAAUCCCACCUUUGCUGGCCCUAUCAGUCCAAUGGAGCUGAGUAGAGGUUUUUCAUCCAGAUGACACACCUUUCAAGGCCACUUACACCAUGUGACAGUUGCAUUCCAGGACCCUGGAGCAAUGAGCCCCACUUGUGAGACAGAGACAGAUGUCACCUCUAUACUGCCAUUUGAAGGACAAAAGGAAAGCUGUAUAACCAUCCUACCCCAUACCUGCUGUCAGCCCACUAUAGUGCCCAAAAUUCCCAUUACCUGCUGCUUAGGUUUUCUGUGCAGACACACUAGUAAAGUACAAAUGGUACCUAGAAAGAGUCAGGCAGUGGAUGCAGAACAAAGAACUUGAAUGUCAGAGUAAGCUGGUUUCAGACCCCAGAUAUUUAUAUUCUUUACCUCCCUCCUCCUUCCCCCUUUCUCUCUCUUCCUCCCUCUCUGUCUCAUACACACACACACACACAUGCAUGCACGCACACAUGCAUGCCAUGCCUGCAGGGGGGCGGGCCGGAGGUGGGGAGGAGGAUAUGCCUGGCAACUCACUUAGCAUCCUAAAGGCUCUGUGUCCUUGUUUAGGAAAACAUAAAUUCUACCAAUUUAGUAUUUGUGCUGGCUAGUUUUAUGUCAACUUGACACACAAACCAGAGUUAAAUUGAGAGAAUCUCAAUUGAGAAAAUGCCUCUAUAAGAUCCAGCUGUGGGGCUUAGUGAUUGACGGGGGAAGGCCCAGCCCAUUGUGGGUGGUGCCAUCACUGGGCUGGUGGUCCUGAGUGCUAUAAGAAAGCAGACUGAGCAAGCCAUAGGGAGCAAGUCAGUAAGCAGCACCCCUCCAUGGCCUCUGCUCCAGCUCCUGCCUCCAGGUUCCUACCCUGACUUCCUUCCGUGAUGAACAGCAAUAUGGAAGUGUAAGCCAAAUAAACCCUUUCCUCCCUGA